GACGAACGCUGGCGGCGUGCUUAACACAUGCAAGUCGAACGGUAAGGCCCUUCGGGGUACACGAGUGGCGAACGGGUGAGUAACACGUGGGUGAUCUGCCCUGCACUUCGGGAUAAGCCUGGGAAACUGGGUCUAAUACCGGAUAGGACUUCUGCCUGCAUGGGUGGGGGUGGAAAGCUUUUGCGGUGUGGGAUGGGCCCGCGGCCUAUCAGCUUGUUGGUGGGGUGAUGGCCUACCAAGGCGACGACGGGUAGCCGGUCUGAGAGGGUGAACGGCCACACUGGGACUGAGAUACGGCCCAGACUCCUACGGGAGGCAGCAGUGGGGAAUAUUGCGCAGUGGGCGCAAGCCUGAUGCAGCGACGCCGCGUGAGGGAUGACGGCCUUCGGGUUGUAAACCUCUUUCAGCACAGACGAAGCGCAAGUGACGGUAUGUGCAGAAGAAGGACCGGCCAACUACGUGCCAGCCGCCGCAGUAA
rnacentral:rRNA from 1 species